GACGAACCGUGCAAACGUUAUUCGGAAUCACUGGGCUUAAAGCGUGCGUAGGCGGCUGAGAAAGUUGGGUGUGAAAUCCCUCGGCUCAACCGAGGAAUUGCGCUCAAAACUACUUGGCUUGAGGGAGUUAGAGGUGAGCGGAACUAAUGGUGGAGCGGUGAAAUGCGUUGAUAUCAUUAGGAACACCGGUGGCGAAAGCGGCUACACUGGGACUCUUCUGACGCUGAGGCACGAAAGCUAGGGAGCGAACGGGAGUUAGA
rnacentral:rRNA from 1 species